UACGUAGGUGGCGAGCGUUGUCCGGAUUUACUGGGCGUAAAGAGCGCGCAGGCGGUCGUACAAGUCGCGUGUGAAAGCCCCUGGCUCAACUGGGGAGGGUCACGCGAUACUGUUCGACUCGAAGGCAGGAGAGGGAAGUGGAAUUCCCGGUGUAGUGGUGAAAUGCGUAGAUAUCGGGAGGAACACCAGUGGCGAAGGCGACUUCCUGGCCUGUUCUUGACGCUGAGGUGCGAAAGCGUGGGGAGCAAACAGG
rnacentral:rRNA from 1 species